GUGUCAUACGCAGUAUGAGGCCUGGCUUUCGCGGCCGGCUGAAGUAUUUUUUUCACCCAUGUCUUUUGCGCACUUGUUGUUUCCUGGGCGGGUUCGCCCGCCACCAGGACCAAACCAUAAACCUUUUUUUCUUAUGCAGUUUCCAUCAGCGUCAGUAAAAACAAUGUAAUUAUUACAACUUUCAACAACGGAUCUCUUGGUUCUGGCAUCGAUGAAGAACGCAGCGAAAUGCGAUACGUAGUGUGAAUUGCAGAAUUCAGUGAAUCAUCGAAUCUUUGAACGCACAUUGCGCCCUUUGGUAUUCCAAAGGGCAUGCCUGUUCGAGCGUCAUUUGUACCUUCAAGCUUUGCUUGGUGUUGGGCGUUUUUUUGUCUCCCUCUUUCUGGGAGACUCGCCUUAAAACGAUUGGCAGCCGGCCUACUGGUUUCGGAGCGCAGCACAUUUUUUGCGCUUUGUAUCAGGAGAAAAGGACGGUACUCCAUCAAGACUCUACAUUUUUCACUUUUGACCUCGGAUCAGGUAGGGAUACCCGCUGAACUUAAGCAUAUCAAAGGGGGGAGAGAAAAUC
rnacentral:rRNA from 1 species